rnacentral:rRNA from 1 species
CCGCCCUGAAACUGCGAAUGGCUCAUUAUAUAAGUUAUCGUUUAUUUGAUAGUGCCUUACUACUUGGAUAACCGUGGUAAUUCUAGAGCUAAUACAUGCUAAAAACCCCGACUUCGGGAGGGGUGUAUUUAUUAGGUACAAAGCCAAUGCCCUUUGGGGCUCUCUGGUGAUUCAUGAUAACUAUACGAAUCGCACGGCCUUGCGCCGGCGAUGGUUCAUUCAAAUUUCUUCCCUAUCAACUUUCGAUGUUUGGGUAUUGGCCAAACAUGGUUGCAACGGGUAACGGAGGGUUAGGGCUCGACCCCGGAGAAGGAGCCUGAGAAACGGCUACUACAUCCAAGGAAGGCAGCAGGCGCGCAAAUUACCCAAUCCCGACUCGGGGAGGUAGUGACAAUAAAUACUGAUACAGGGCCCUUUCGGGCCUUGUAACUGGAAUGAGUACAAUUUAAAUCCCUUAACGAGGAACAAUUGGAGGGCAAGUCUGGUGCCAGCAGCCGCGGUAAUUCCAGCUCCAAUAGCGUAUAUUAAAGUUGUUGUGGUUAAAAAGCUCGUAGUUGAACCUUGGGCCUGGCUGGCCGGUCCGCCUCACCGCGUGCACUGGUCCGGCCGGGCCUUUCCCUCUGUGGAACCCCAUACCCUUCACUGGGCGUGGCGGGGAAACAGGACAUUUACUUUGAAAAAAUUAGAGUGCUCCAGGCAGGCCUAUGCUCGAAUACAUUAGCAUGGAAUAAUAAAAUAGGACGCGCGGUUCUAUUUUGUUGGUUUAUAGGACCGCCGUAAUGAUUAAUAGGGACAGUCGGGGGCAUCAGUAUUCAACUGUCAGAGGUGAAAUUCUUGGAUCAGUUGAAGACUAACUACUGCGAAAGCAUUUGCCAAGGAUGUUUUCAUUAAUCAGGAACGAAAGUUAGGGGAUCGAAGACGAUCAGAUACUGUCGUAGUCUUAACCAUAAACUAUGCCGACUAGGGAUCGGACGGUGUUAUUCAUGACCCGUUCGGCACCUUACGAGAAAUCAAAGUGCUUGGGCUCCAGGGGAGUAUGGUCGCAAGGCUGAAACUUAAA